rnacentral:rRNA from 1 species
ACUCCUACGGGAGGCAGCAGUAGGGAAUCUUCCACAAUGGGCGCAAGCCUGAUGGAGCAACACCGCGUGAGUGAAGAAGGGUUUCGGCUCGUAAAGCUCUGUUGUUAAAGAAGAACACGUAUGAGAGUAACUGUUCAUACGUUGACGGUAUUUAACCAGAAAGUCACGGCUAACUACGUGCCAGCAGCCGCGGUAAUACGUAGGUGGCAAGCGUUAUCCGGAUUUAUUGGGCGUAAAGAGAGUGCAGGCGGUUUUCUAAGUCUGAUGUGAAAGCCUUCGGCUUAACCGGAGAAGUGCAUCGGAAACUGGAUAGCUUGAGUGCAGAAGAGGGUAGUGGAACUCCAUGUGUAGCGGUGGAAUGCGUAGAUAUAUGGAAGAACACCGAGUGGCGAAGGCGGCUACCUGGUCUGCAACGUGACGCUGAGACUCGAAAGCAUGGGUAGCGAACAGGAUUAGAUACCCUGGUAGGAUAGCG